rnacentral:rRNA from 1 species
UACCAGACUCCUACGGGAGGCAGCAGUGAGGAAUAUUGGUCAAUGGGCGGGAGCCUGAACCAGCCAAGUCGCGUGAGGGAAGACGGUCCUACGGAUUGUAAACCUCUUUUGCCGGGGAGCAACGGGGUCCUUGCGAGGGCCCGAUGAGAGUACCCGGAGAAAAAGCAUCGGCUAACUCCGUGCCAGCAGCCGCGGUAAUACGGAGGAUGCGAGCGUUAUCCGGAUUUAUUGGGUUUAAAGGGUGCGCAGGCGGCACGGCAAGCCGGCGGUCAAAUCGCGGGGCUCAACCCCGCCCAGCCGUCGGAACUGCCGGGCUAGAGUGGGCGAGAAGUGCGCGGAAUGCGUGGUGUAGCGGUGAAAUGCAUAGAUAUCACGCAGAACUCCGAUUGCGAAGGCAGCGCACCGGCGCCCUACUGACGCUCAGGCACGAAAGCGUGGGUAUCGAACAGGAUUAGAUACCCCAGUA